GAACCUGGGAUGGAGUCCUUCUCAUCUACAUGUUCUCUCAUGACAGACCCUGCAACCACUGUAAUCCCGUGGUAUUACGGCACAGAGGGAUUACGUCCACCCUAAAGGUAUAUUAUUAUCACCAUUUAUUCACUCUAACAUCAAACCUGCACCAAACUGCAUGAAUAACAACCUCACUCCCAACUACACCAUCACUUUAAAAUCUACUAAGCUCAUUUCCCUGCAUGCUUGCAUGACAUCUUAAUCAUCAGGGGUUCGUUAUACGACGACAGCGAAAACGUACCCCAUCUAUAACUCCACAUCAUCCGUUAUCAGUCACUAGUCAUGUAACAACCACUCACACCAUUUAUAUGCACCUGAAAUAUUCCAAACUAACUUGAAUAUUUUUGUUUGGAAGUGAAUUUUCUGAAUGUAUGUAUUUUCUGUCUUUUUUUACUGCAAUGGUAAAAUGCGGAACCAACUGCCAUUGGAAUACGCGAUAUGGAGUACAAUGGAAACUGCACCAGUCACUCCAAAGCCAGACGACAUCAUUGAAGCUGUGGUGAGCGGAGGGCCAUGGUGAGCGGAGGUAUGCUGUGAGGAAACGACACUCAUUUUAAAGUUCAGGAAUACAACCUGAAGUUGUUGACUGAUUCUCCAAACAGGGCAGGCAUCAUGGAAGACCUUGGUUGAAGGUGUCUUAUGGUCUCCGAGGAUGCAAGUUUCCAGGUGAUGUCACAAGGACUCAUCUGGCUACCAAAAGGGCAUCAUGGAACGAGGACGAGGGUGUCUUAUGGUCUCCGAGGAUGCAAGUUUCCAGUGCAAUGGUGAAAUGCGGAACCAACUGCCUGUGAAGUAGGGAGUCCAUUGGAAACUGCCAUGCGCUCGUGCUGGUGAUGUCUAUCUGCCGACGAUGAGGGGCCAAGAGGACGACAGCUGGAUGCCUGGCUUCAUAGAGAAGUGUUCCUGUCUCCCUGGUUGAUGAGAACAUGCAUUGCAGUCUAAUGGAUCAACAACUGAUGUGAUGUCACAAGGACUCAUCUGGCUACCAAAACGGCAUCAUGGAACGAGGACGAGGGUGUCUUAUGGUCUCCGAGGAUGCAAGUUUCCAGUGCAAUGGUGAAAUGCGGAACCAACUGCCUGUGAAGUAGGGAGUCCAUUGGAAACUGCCAUGCGCUCGUGCUGGUGACGUCUAUCUGCCGACGAUGAGGGGCCAAGAUGACGACAGCUGGAUGCCUGGCUUCAUAGAGAAGUGUUCCUGUCUCCCUGGUUGAUGAGAACAUGCAUUGCAGUCUAAUGGAUCAACAACUGAUGUGAUGUCACAAGGGCUCAUCUGGCUACCAAAACGGCAUCAUGGAACGAGGACGAGGGUGUCUUAUGGUCUCCGAGGAUGCAAGUUUCCAGUGCAAUGGUGAAAUGCGCAACCAACUGCCUGUGAAGUAGGGAGUCCCCAUGCGCUCAUGCUGGUGAUGUCUAUCUGCCGACGAUGAGGGGCCAAGAGGACGACAGCUGGAUGCCUGGCUUCAUAGAGAAGUGUUCCUGUCUCCCUGGUUGAUGAGAACAUGCAUUGCAGUCUAAUGGAUCAACAACUGAUGUGAUGUCACAAGGACUCAUCUGGCUACCAAAAGGGCAUCAUGGAACGAGGACGAGGGUGUCUUAUGGUCUCCGAGGAUGCAAGUUUCCAGUGCAAUGGUGAAAUGCGCAACCAACUGCCUGUGAAGUAGGGAGUCCCCAUGCGCUCAUGCUGGUGAUGUCUAUCUGCCGACGAUGAGGGGCCAAGAGGACGACAGCUGGAUGCCUGGCUUCAUAGAGAAGUGUUCCUGUCUCCCUGGUUGAUGAGAACAUGCAUUGCAGUCUAAUGGAUCAACAACUGAUGUGAUGUCACAAGGACUCAUCUGGCUACCAAAAGGGCAUCAUGGAACGAGGACGAGGGUGUCUUAUGGUCUCCGAGGAUGCAAGUUUCCAGUGCAAUGGUGAAAUGCGGAACCAACUGCCUGUGAAGUAGGGAGUCUAAUGGAAACUACCAUGCGCUCGUGCUGGUGACGUCUAUCUGCCGACGAUAAGGGGCCAAGAUGACGACAGCUGGAUGCCUGGCUUCAUAGAGAAGUGUUCCUGUCUCCCUGGUUGAUGAGAACAUGCAUUGCAGUCUAAUGGAUCAACAACUGAUGUGAUGUCACAAGGACUCAUCUGGCUACCAAAAGGGCAUCAUGGAACGAGGACGAGGGUGUCUUAUGGUCUCCGAGGAUGCAAGUUUCCAGUGCAAUGGUGAAAUGCGGAACCAACUGCCUGUGAAGUAGGGAGUCCAAUGGAAACUACCAUGCGCUCGUGCUGGUGACGUCUAUCUGCCGACGAUGAGGGGCCAAGAUGACGACAGCUGGAUGCCUGGCUUCAUAGAGAAGUGUUCCUGUCUCCCUGGUUGAUGAGAACAUGCAUUGCAGUCUAAUGGAUCAACAACUGAUGUGAUGUCACAAGGACUCAUCUGGCUACCAAAAGGGCAUCAUGGAACGAGGACGAGGGUGUCUUAUGGUCUCCGAGGAUGCAAGUUUCCAGUGCAAUGGUGAAAUGCGGAACCAACUGCCUGUGAAGUAGGGAGUCCAUUGGAAACUGCCAUGCGCUCGUGCUGGUGACGUCUAUCUGCCGACGAUGAGGGGCCAAGAUGACGACAGCUGGACGCCUGGCUUCAUAGAGAAGUGUUCCUGUCUCCCUGGUUGAUGAGAACAUGCAUUGCAGUCUAAUGGAUCAACAACAGAUAUGGUGUUACCUAGAGGUAAUUUUUUCUCUUCAGUCCGGUGGUGCAAAUUGUGCUGAUCUUGAUGCAGCUCAAGAAAGAGCGCUAGAUGGCGUCUAUACAAGGAUGCUACCAAUGGCCCUUGAUGUACACUUGGAAGACCAUUUGCCAAACUUCCAGCUCUUUGAUGUCAACCAAGAGUAUCUGUCAAGAUCAAGAAACGAAGAAUGAGGCUGGCUGCCCACUGUGCCCGCCAUCCAGAGCUAGCUGUGAGCCCCCUACUCUUUUGGGAGCCCAUCGAUGGAAACAGAAUCGAGGGCACGAGAGCACUAACAUUCUUAGACCAGCUGAAGGACACAGCAAACAACCAGAAACAACUGAGCUUAAGAUGCUGAUGCUGAACGAAGCGUGAGAUGGCGUCUGCUGAAGACAACCUCUCGCUCAACUACUACUUAUACAUACAGGUGAUUGUGAUGACCUACUUAAAAGGAUCCUUGAAGGAUGAACAGAGUCAAACAACUAAAGAGUUGGUUAUGUCAAGAUGCUGAGCCACAUUAUGCAGCACCAAUAAAACUGUUGCUUCAACACAGUCUUUGUAAAGGAGGACUGUUUCUUCAUGAUGACUGCCCUCAUCUAAGGUCAUAUCCACCAGCUUCGACUGUUACUAAGGAUGUACUUCGACCAAUGAGUAGACUUUCCAAGAGCUGAACAACAUUGAACAAAUCUUCCAACGGAUCUUGAUAUUACAGCAUGAUCAUCCGGAUUCAUCUGCAGAUUGAACUCACUAACACAACGUUUUCAUAUUGUGGAACAAUGACUUGAAUAUUAGUAUUGUUUGAAGCUUUUGCAUGGUGUGGAUAAAUAGGAAAAAAACCUAUAAAUAUAUAGUAAACU